GAUGAACGCUAGCGGCAGGCCUAAUACAUGCAAGUCGAACGGUGUCUUCGGACAUAGUGGCGCACGGGUGCGUAACACGUAUGCAACCUACCUUACAUUGGGGGAUAGCCUUUCGAAAGGGAGAUUAAUACCGCAUAAGACAGUAGCUGGGCAUCCAGUAGCUGUUAAAGAUUUAUCGAUGUAAGCUGGGCAUGCGUCCAAUUAGCUAGUUGGUGAGGUAACUGCUCACCAAGGCAAUGAUUGGUAGGGGAACUGAGAGGUCAAUCCCCCACACUGGCACUGAGAUACGGGCCAGACUCCUACGGGAGGCAGCAGUAGGGAAUAUUGGGCAAUGGACGCAAGUCUGACCCAGCCAUGCCGCGUGCAGGAUGAAGGCGUUAUGCGUUGUAAACUGCUUUUAUACAGGAAGAAACGACUCUUGCGAGAGGCAUUGACGGUACUGUAUGAAUAAGCACCGGCUAACUCCGUGCCAGCAGCCGCAGUAAAAC
rnacentral:rRNA from 1 species